rnacentral:rRNA from 1 species
CCUACGGGCGGCAGCAGUGAGGAAUAUUGGUCAAUGGACGCAAGUCUGAACCAGCCAUGCCGCGUGCAGGAAGACGGCUCUAUGAGGUGGAAAAUGCGGUUGUACGAGGGGAAAAGCAGAUACGCGGAUCUGUCUGAAAGUAUCGUACGAAUAAGGAUCGGCUAACUCCGUGCCAGCAGCCGCGGUAAUACGGAGGAUUCAAUCGUUAUCCGGAUUUAUUGGGUUUAAAGGGUGCGUAGGCGGUCGGAUAAGUUAGAGGUGAAGUCCCGAGGCGCAACUUCGGAAUUGCCUCUGUUACUGUUCGGCUAGAGCGUAGUUUCGUUAGGCGGAAUGUCUUGUGUAGCGG